UUGAACGCUGGCGGCAUGCCUUACACAUGCAAGUCGAACGGUAGCGGGCCUUCGGGUGCCGACGAGUGGCGAACGGGUGAGUAAUGUAUCGGUACGUACCUUUCAGUGGGGGAUAACGUAGCGAAAGUUACGCUAAUACCGCAUAUUCUGUGAGCAGGAAAGCAGGGGAUCGCAAGACCUUGCGCUGAUUGAGCGGCCGAUAUCAGAUUAGCUAGUUGGUGAGGUAAAGGCUCACCAAGGCGACGAUCUGUAGCGGGUCUGAGAGGAUGAGCCGCCACACUGGAACUGAGACACGGUCCAGACUCCUACGGGAGGCAGCAGUGGGGAAUUUUGGACAAUGGGGGCAACCCUGAUCCAGCCAUGCCGCGUGAGUGAAGAAGGCCUUCGGGUUGUAAAG
rnacentral:rRNA from 1 species